GCUGUAAACAGAGUUGACCUUAGAGUUUAGUUUCUUCCGUGUUUUUAUUACGUUUUAUGGUAAAAAUGUCGUCUUCUACAAGCCUUAUUUCAUUAGCUGUUGGUUUGGUGACAGGAAAUGUGUUUGGAAUCUACUUGGCCCAGACGUACGAGCUUCCAGAUUUGCAGAACAUGCUUCAUAAUUUAUUAUCAAAAGCACAGAAACUGGAAAAACCUUCUCCAGAAAAUACCAACAAAAGGGACAAGUGACAAUUCUACAGACAUAUUGAAAUUUGCAAGGCCUAAAAUCUUCAUAGCUCACUGAGCAAUGGCWUGGCAUUGCACCAAGAAAGCAAUGAACUUACAGUGAUAGAUAGCCUUUUUCUUGCAAAGGGAGMUGGUAUCUAAGCUCGACAGCAUUAGUUCAGUCCCAGACCCUUUUAAAGUCCCUAAAUUGGUUGAAAUGUUCCGUGUAGCUGACUAAAAAGAGUCUGGGACUGGGCCACCAAUUGUCUCUCUUUGAUUUAAAAGCAUGGUUACCUUUCAAGAUGUAUCAGGGAACUGUUCUGAAUCGCCUUCAUUUAAUUACUUCCGAAUUUGCUUCAAUGAAUUUUAAGUGUGUGAAACARUUGUGUAUGAUGAUGACGAUGAUCAUGAAUGAUGAUGAUGACMACUCYGGAGAUGAUUAAAACAUUGUUGCUCGUUGCUCUGGAUGAUGAAGAAGAUG